UAUCUAUAUAAUAUGGAAGAAAGCUUUUUGAAAAUGUCCCAAAUGUAUAACAGAUACAUUUGGUUUUAAGGGCCAAGAUGAAUCUUGAGUUUAGAUCAACGGCCAAGAUGAAUCAGAGAUACAUUUCCCACCCGUUUGAGUUCAUCUCUCCCUCUCUCCCACGUCUUCAGCUCCCUCUCUCCCACGUUCUCUGUCAGAGUGUCUCUCAUCACCACAGCCAUUGAAGACCCUUCGAACCCUUUGAUACCCACACUCCUCCUUCCCUUACAACCCUUCUCUUCGACCUGACCGAGGCUGUCACCGACCGACCUCCCUCCAUCCGACGAUCGAGUCGAGUCUCUCUCUCCGACGAUCGAGUCUCGCUUCUCGCCGCUCAGUCCCGCCGGACUCUCUUCUGUCUCCGACCCGAACCAGGGUAUACGAGAAGCUCUGUUCGACGCUCUGGUAUACGAGAAGCUCUCUCUCCAAAACCCUCGCCAUACCCGAAAGUGGAAUAGUUGCCUCCAGUAUAGAACCAGGUAGCAAUGCAGAACAGGUGCGGAAUGGAAGGACGCAUCAAAAAGAAGCAAACUCGCUUCAUCAGGAUCCUCAAUACGAAAAGCAAGAAUAAAAAACCGCCCUGUU